GACGAACGCUGGCGGCGUGCUUAACACAUGCAAGUCGAACGGCAAGGCCCUGCUUUUUUGGGGUUCUCGAUUGGCGAACGGGUGAGUAACACGUGAGUAACCUGCCCUUGACUUUGGGAUAACUUCAGGAAACUGGGGCUAAUACCAUAUAGGAGCUCCUCUUGCAUUGAGGGGGUUGGAAAUUUUCGGCGGGUGGGGUUGGACUCGCGGGUUAUCAGCUUGUUGGUUGGGUAGUGGCUUACCAAGGCUUUGACGGGUAGCCGGCCCGAGAGGGUGAACGGCCACAUUGGGACUAAGAUAGGGACCAGACUGCUACGGGGGGCAGUAGUGGGGAAUCUUGCACAGUGGGCGCAAGUCUGAUGCGACAACGUCGCGUUCGGGAUGACGGCCUUCGGGUAGUGAAAAGCUUCAGCCUGUGACGAAGCGUGAGUGACGGUAAUGAGUGAAGAAGCACCGGCUAACUACGUG
rnacentral:rRNA from 1 species